GCAUAUAAAAUGCACAAUAAGGGAUCUGUUUCCCAGUAUCAGUGCAUCACAGCUUUACACAGUUACUAAAGAACCUGCAACAAAAUAUCGAAUAAUAAUGCAGAAGCAAAUGUUGGUUUUGCUUAUAGCCGUGUUGGCUAUUCAGUUCGUAGCUGCGCAAUUUCCUAUUGGUAGGGGAGCCCCACCACCACCAGUAGGCCAUUGGGGCUGAAUUUGUUGAACAAUUUGAAAGAAAAUUUAAAGUGCAAUGUAAUUGUAAUAAUAAAAUGCAAAAUAAACGUUUAGAGUAUUGCUAACUGAA